rnacentral:sRNA from 1 species
AAGAUACAUAGACAAAGACUCAUACGGAAUUCGGCUAAACCAUCAAAGCUUUUAGAAGCAAGAAGAAGGUUGGUUAGUGUUUUGGAGUGAAAUAUGACUAGAUGUCAUGUGUAUGAGUGAGUAUAUCAACUAGAACCACAAUUGGAAUUUUAAAAGCCUAAGUAUUAUAUCCUUGUUAGAAGAUACAAAGACAAACACUCAUACGGACUUUGGCUACACCAUCAAAGCUUUUAGAAGCAAGAAGAAGCUUGGUUAGUGUUUUGGAGUCGAAUAUGACUUGAUGUGAUGUGUAUGAUUGAGUAUAAGAAAUUAAACCGCAACCGGAUCUUAAAAGCCUAAGUAUUGUUUUCUUGUUAGCAGAAACAAAGGCAAAGCCUCAUACAGACUUUAGCUAUACCAUCAAAGCCUUGAGAAGCAAGAAGAAGCUUGGUUAGUGUUUUGGAGUCAAAUAUUACUAGAUGUCAUGUGUAUGAGUGAGUAUGACAACUAGAACCAUAACCGGAUCUUAAAAACCUAAGUAUUGAAUCUUUGUUAGAAGAUACAAAGACAAAGACUCAUACGGACUUCGACUACACUAUCAAAGCUUUGAGAAGCAAGAAGAAGCUUGGUUAGUAUUUUGGAUUCGAAUAUGACUUGAUGUCAUGUGUAUGACUCAGUAUAAACACUAGAACCGCAACAGAUCUUAAAAGCAUAAGUAUUGUAUCAUUGUUAGAAGAUACAAUGACGAAGACUCAUACGGACUUCGACUACACCAUCAAAGCUUUGAGAAGCAAGAAGCAGUUGGUUAGUGUUUUGGAGUCGAAUAUGACUUGAUGUCAUGUGUAUGAGUGAGUAUAAAAACUAGAACCGCAACGGAUCUUAAAAGCCUAAAUAUUGUAUCCUUGUUAGAAGAUACAUAGACAAAGUCUCAUACGGAAUUCGGCUAAACCAUCAAAGCUUUUACAAGCAAGAAGAAGCUUGGUUAGUGUUUUAGAGUGAAAUCUAACUAGAUGUCAUGUGUAUGAGUGAGUAUACCAACUAGAACCACAAUUGGAAUUUUAAAAGCCUAAGUAUUAUAUCCUUGUUAGAAGAUACAAAGACAAACACUCAUACGGACUUUGGCUACACCAUCAAAGCUUUGAGAAGCAAGAAGAAGUUUGGUUAGUGUUUUGGAGUCGAAUAUGACUUGAUGUGAUGUGUAUGAUUGAGUAUAAGAAAUUAAACCGCAACCGGAUCUUAAAAGCCUAAGUGUUGUUUCCUUGUUAGAAGAAA